CGAUGAAUCAUUCAAAUUUCUGCCCUAUCAACUUUCGAUGGUNGGAUAGAGGCCUACCAUGGUGGUAACGGGUAACGGGGUGUUAGGGCACGACACCGGAGAGGGAGCCUGAGAAACGGCUACCACAUCCAAGGAAGGCAGCAGGCGCGCAAAUUACCCAAUCCCGACACGGGGAGGUAGUGACAAUAAAUAACAAUACAGGGUUCUUUGAAUCUUGUAAUUGGAAUGAGUACAAUUUAAAUCUCUUAACGAGGAACAAUUGGAGGGCAAGUCUGGUGCCAGCAGCCGCGGUAAUUCCAGCUCCAAUAGCGUAUAUUAAAGUUGUUGCAGUUAAAAAGCUCGUAGUUGAAUUUCGGGAUCAAUUCGUCGGUCGUGCUUUCGGGUACGUACUGGUGUUAUUGGUUUCUCCCUUCUGACGAACCAUGAUGUCAUUAAUUUGGUGUUAUGGGAAGUUAGGACUGUUACUUUGAAAAAAUUAGAGUGUUUAAAGCAGGCAUUAGCUUGAAUACAUUAGCAUGGAAUAAUGAAAUAGGACGUUCGAUCCUAUUUUGUUGGUUUCUAGGAUCAACGUAAUGAUUAAUAGGGAUGGUUGGGGGCAUUAGUAUUCAAUUGUCAGAGGUGAAAUUCUUGGAUUUAUUGAAGACUAACUACUGCGAAAGCAUUUGCCAAGGAUGUUUUCAUUAAUCAAGAACGAAAGUUAGGGGAUCGAAGACGAUCAGAUACCGUCGUAGUCUUAACCAUAAACUAUGCCGACUAGGGAUCGG
rnacentral:rRNA from 1 species